UAUUGUUAUUUUGGCAGAUUAGUGCAUUAAAUUUAGAAUUUAAUUAUGUAAUUAUUUAUUUACAAAUAAUAC
rnacentral:tRNA from 1 species